rnacentral:rRNA from 1 species
UACGUAGGGUGCAAGCGUUGUCCGGAAUUAUUGGGCGUAAAGAGCUCGUAGGCGGUUUGUCGCGUCUGCUGUGAAAAUCCAGGGCUUAACCCUGGACCUGCAGUGGGUACGGGCAGACUAGAGUGCGGUAGGGGAGAUCGGAAUUCCUGGUGUAGCGGUGAAAUGCGCAGAUAUCAGGAGGAACACCAGUGGCGAAGGCGGCUCACUGGACCGGAACUGACGCUGAGGCGCGAAAGCGUGGGGAGCAAACAGG